UGACCGGCCACACUGGGACUGAGACACGGCCCAGACUCCUACGGGAGGCAGCAGUGGGGAAUAUUGCACAAUGGGCGCAAGCCUGAUGCAGCAACGCCGCGUGAGGGACGACGGCCUUCGGGUUGUAAACCUCUUUUAGCAGGGAAGAAGCGAAAGUGACGGUACCUGCAGAAAAAGCGCCGGCUAACUACGUGCCAGCAGCCGCGGUAAUACGUAGGGCGCAAGCGUUAUCCGGAAUUAUUGGGCGUAAAGAGCUCGUAGGCGGUUUGUCGCGUCUGCUGUGAAAUCCCGAGGCUCAACCUCGGGCCUGCAGUGGGUACGGGCAGACUAGAGUGCGGUAGGGGAGAUUGGAAUUCCUGGUGUAGCGGUGGAAUGCGCAGAUAUCAGGAGGAACACCGAUGGCGAAGGCAGAUCUCUGGGCCGUAACUGACGCUGAGGAGCGAAAGGGUGGGGAGCAAACAGGCUUAGAUACCCUGGUAGUCCACCCCGUAAACGUUGGGAACUAGUUGUGGGGUCCAUUCCACGGAUUCCGUGACGCAGCUAACGCAUUAAGUUCCCCGCCUGGGGAGUACGGCCGCAAGGCUAAAACUCAAAGGAAUUGACGGGGACCCGCACAAGCGGCGGAGCAUGCGGAUUAAUUCGAUGCAACGCGAAGAACCUUACCAAGGCUUGACAUAUACGAGAACGGGCCAGAAAUGGUCAACUCUUUGGACACUCGUAAACAGGUGGUGCAUGGUUGUCGUCAGCUCGUGUCGUGAGAUGUUGGGUUAAGUCCCGCAACGAGCGCAACCCUCGUUCUAUGUUGCCAGCACGUAAUGGUGGGAACUCAUGGGAUACUGCCGGGGUCAACUCGGAGGAAGGUGGGGAUGACGUCAAAUCAUCAUGCCCCUUAUGUCUUGGGCUUCACGCAUGCUACAAUGGCCGGUACAAAGGGCUGCAAUACCGCGAGGUGGAGCGAAUCCCAAAAAGCCGGUCCCAGUUCGGAUUGAGGUCUGCAACUCGACCUCAUGAAGUCGGAGUCGCUAGUAAUCGCAGAUCAGCAACG
rnacentral:rRNA from 1 species